rnacentral:rRNA from 1 species
AUGAACGCUGGCGGCGUGCCUAAUACAUGCAAGUCGAGCGAACGGACGAGAAGCUUGCUUCUCUGAUGUUAGCGGCGGACGGGUGAGUAACACGUGGAUAACCUACCUAUAAGACUGGGAUAACUUCGGGAAACCGGAGCUAAUACCGGAUAAUAUUUUGAACCGCAUGGUUCAAAAGUGAAAGACGGUCUUGCUGUCACUUAUAGAUGGAUCCGCGCUGCAUUAGCUAGUUGGUAAGGUAACGGCUUACCAAGGCAACGAUGCAUAGCCGACCUGAGAGGGUGAUCGGCCACACUGGAACGGAGACACGGUCCAGACUCCUACGGGAGGCAGCAGCAGGGAAUCUUCCGCAAUGGGCGAAAGCCUGACGGAGCAACGCCGCGUGAGUGAUGAAGGUCUUCGGAUCGUAAAACUCUGUUAUUAGGGAAGAACAUAUGUGUAAGUAACUGUGCACAUCUUGACGGUACCUAAUCAGAAAGCCACGGCUAACUACGUG